GAUUUCGGACAAAGCCCAUGUAGCUUACACUGUACGCAUGCGCAGAACCGUAAAUCACACAUCGCGAUAGUUUAUCUGGCACACGACCGUUGACCACACUGUAACAGACCACUGAGACCUCGGAGAUGUUUUCUUUUCAUUUUAACCUCGAUGAUUACAAGGCAUCACAUGACCCGGAAGAGUCAACGAGUCACACUCGCUUCAUCUGUUUCUUUACUAUAAUGUGCUUUUUGGCAAUUCUGUCUAUUGCCGUUCGUCGUACUUUAAUCUUAUUACCUCAACUGCCCUAAAACAUUUGUUAAGCUUCUAAACCCGUCACUUAGAACAACCAUACGGUGAAUAACCCUGUCACACUUGCUAUGCUAUAGUAUCGCUUCCUUGUCUUUGGACAUCGAUUAAGUGUAAUAUCUAUUCUCACUUGAGUCAAUCUCAAAUGGUUUCAUAGCUACUGUAGCUGUGCACGAAACGAAACCAGUUUUUGGGAUGGGGAGUUGGAUUAGAGUUCGCUUUGUCCACUCCACGCAUCGACCUGGUAUUGCAGUACCUCCAGGCACGGUGCACCACCCUAUUAAUGUUGAAUAUUAAACAGGACAUUAUUCAGAGAUCCAUAAUGACGAAAUUUAACAGUAUCAUAUGUAUAAUAAGUUUGUUUUUUGCAAGCAGCACACCGGUUUGUGAUCUGUACAUUUAGCAGUAUUUUAAUUUUUUUGUGACAGUUGUUAUUAAUGAUUAACUUUUUUAGGAUUUAUUUUGUCCUCAGACGUCUUCAGGUGUGACACCAUACACAAAUGCCAUACUUCAGUCAUACUGAUGAUCUGUGUGUGUCAUUGUAUAUAUUGGUUGCAUCUGUUUUCACCCUACUGGUAGAGAGAUUUGUUAUAUUUAGCACCCAACUGUCAAGUAGGAACAGUCUCUUUUUUUGUACUCAUUUCAUCUUUGAAAUGUUAUUUGUUUUAAAUAUUUUGUCAUUGUCUGUGAAGCACUUUGGGCUGCAUGAUUGUAUAAACGGUGCUAUAUAAAUAAAGUUUAAUUUGAUUUUUGAUUUGCUGUAAGCUAUUUCUUCCAUUUUUCAUCUUACUGUUUGCUAGUGUUUAUAUUAUAUAUUGAACCUUACUGUGACCUAGUUCUUAUAUUCUACACCUUAAUCUAGUUUAUUUAGGUUUAUAUUUGCUAUACCUUGCUUUUUCUACUUUGUAGUCUAUAUUGCAUGCUUUGUAUUGGGAUAAAUAAAGUUCUGCCUUAUCUUCAUUCUUGUUAUAAGAGCAGGAGGCUGCAAAAGGGAGACAUGUAAUUCAUAUCACUGUAAACAGAUCAAAACAAUAACUUGUUGAGUGAGACAAGAUUGAUAAAGAAAACGUGUUGUGUUCAUUGUCCUUUCAAGGCUGCAUGUGAGGAAAAAUAUAAAUAAUAUUGUUCUUUUUUCUUCUGCUUUGUUUGAUUGUGUUGUUAAGCGUCAUUAAACUUCAAUUUGAAUUGAA